GAUGAACGCUGGCGGCGUGCCUAAUACAUGCAAGUCGAGCGAAUGGAUUAAGAGCUUGCUCUUAUGAAGUUAGCGGCGGACGGGUGAGUAACACGUGGGUAACCUGCCCAUAAGACUGGGAUAACUCCGGGAAACCGGGGCUAAUACCGGAUAACAUUUUGAACCGCAUGGUUCGAAAUUGAAAGGCGGCUUCGGCUGUCACUUAUGGAUGGACCCGCGUCGCAUUAGCUAGUUGGUGAGGUAACGGCUCACCAAUGCAACGAUGCGUAGCCGACCUGGGAGGGUGAUCGGCCACACUGAGACUGAGACACGGCACAGACUCCUACGGGAGGCAGCAGUAGGGAAUCUUCCGCAAUGGACGAAAGUCUGACGGAGCAACGCCGCGUGAGUGAGGAAGGCUUUCGGGUCGUAAAACUCUGUUGUUAGGGAAGAACAAGUGCUAGUUGAAUAAGCUGGCACCUUGACGGUACCUAACCAGAAAGCCACGGCUAACUACGUGCCAGCCGCCGCUGUAA
rnacentral:rRNA from 1 species